rnacentral:rRNA from 1 species
CCUACGGGAGGCAGCAGUGAGGAAUAUUGGUCAAUGGGCGCGAGCCUGAACCAGCCAAGUCGCGUGAGGGAUGAAUGCCCUAUGGGUUGUAAACCUCUUUUAUAAGGGAAUAAAAUGUUGGACGUGUCCGAUUUUGUAUGUACCUUAUGAAUAAGGAUCGGCUAACUCCGUGCCAGCAGCCGCGGUAAUACGGAGGAUCCGAGCGUUAUCCGGAUUUAUUGGGUUUAAAGGGUGCGUAGGUGGCCUUUUAAGUCAGCGGUGAAAGUUUGCGGCUCAACCGUAGAAUUGCCGUUGAAACUGGGAGGCUUGAGUAUGUUAGAGGAAGGCGGAAUGCGUGGUGUAGCGGUGAAAUGCUUAGAUAUCACGAAGAACCCCGAUUGCGAAGGCAGCCUGCCAAGCCAUGACUGACGCUGAUGCACGAAAGCGUGGGGAUCAAACAGGAUUAGAUACCCGAGUAGUC